AGGUGUCAUUUCCUGCCGCAAUAUAUUUCAUCGACUUCUCAGAUAAGCCAGCAGCCGGAGACAUGCAGAUCCUCAUGUUUGUGUCUGUCGCGUAUUUCUCCUGUGGCGGUUUAGCUCAAUCCCUGAGUCAGCCCACGCUGUCGGUCAGCAGGGCUCGUACAAAAAUGGCCCGUUUUCGGUGCAUCUUGGAGGAUGUGGAUUUCGCGAGUGUGACCGUGCACUGGUACCGGCACACUCCGAGCCAGGGCUUCCGCCGUAUUCUCUACGUGACUGGAGCCCGACCAUUUUACGACGACGAUUUCGCCGACAGAUUCACAUCCGAAAACGUGGAGAAAGCGAAAAGUAGUCUGCUCGACAUAAGAAACGUCGCGGAGAGUGAUGCUGGAGUCUAUUACUGUGCCGCCUGGGGAGCACGAUGA